rnacentral:rRNA from 1 species
UACAUGGGGUGCAAACGUUGCUCGGAAUUAUUGGGCGUAAAGCGCACGUAGGCGGUUCGUUAAGUCAGAUGUGAAAGCCCUCGGCUCAACCGAGGAAGUGCAUCUGAAACUGGCGAGCUAGAGUACGGAAGAGGCGAGUGGAAUUCCUGGUGUAGCGGUGGAAUGCGCAGAUAUCAGGAGGAACACCAAUAGCGAAGGCAGCUCGCUGGGACGUUACUGACACUGAGGCGCGAAAGCGUGGGGAGCGAACAGG